CAUCUCUUGACCAGGGUGUUCUCACCAUGCCCCUUCUACAAACAAAAAAAUGAAGAUGUGGAGACUUGGAGACAGGUGGCACCUCGUGCUUCCUCAGAAGGGAAAGCCCAUUUCAUAACAGCUGGAUCAAAGGCAUGAAAUGAACAUGGAGCCCCUGAAGACGAAGAGAAGGCAUGGCUGCCAGGGAGAAAUUGUACAUUACAGGAAUGCAGAUGUGAUUCCAGUGACUUAGCUUCAACUCUAUGGAUGAGGGUAACCUAGAGGCUAGAAGAACAAUAGGACAGAAGAAGCCUGGGUCCCUGAACAACCUUGUGGAGCAUAGACACCUACCUGGCCUGGACUACCAGCUCACAGUGGGCCUCUCCUUGAGAGAGAAGGAAACUUCCUUCUUGUUCAAGCAACUGUACUUUUGAGAAUCUCUUGGUCUAUACCCUAAUAAAUAGGCCAUCAUAAAUGGAUAUCAAAGUAAGGAAAUUUGUGUAAAUGAUUUAAUAAAACAUUACCUUAGGUAUGAAAUAA
rnacentral:lncRNA from 1 species